rnacentral:rRNA from 1 species
GACGAACGCUGGCGGCGCGCCUAACACAUGCAAGUCGAACGAGCGAGAGAGAGCUUGCUUUCUUGAGCGAGUGGCGAACGGGUGAGUAACGCGUGAGGAACCUGCCUCAAAGAGGGGGACAACAGUUGGAAACGACUGCUAAUACCGCAUAAGCCCACGGUGCCGCAUGGCACAGAGGGAAAAGGAGCAAUCCGCUUUGAGAUGGCCUCGCGUCCGAUUAGCUAGUUGGUGAGGUAACGGCCCACCAAGGCGACGAUCGGUAGCCGGACUGAGAGGUGGAACGGCCACAUUGGGACUGAGACACGGCCCAGACUCCUACGGGAGGCAGCAGUGGGGAAUAUUGCACAAUGGGGGAAACCCUGAUGCAGCGACGCCGCGUGGAGGAAGAAGGUCUUCGGAUUGUAAACUCCUGUUGUUGGGGAAGAUAAUGACGGUACCCAACAAGGAAGUGACGGCUAACUACGUG